ACUGCCCCCAGAGGCGUUGCAGGUGUGGCUGCGUUUGUGUCACAUUUGUGUCAUUCGGCGGCAGAGAGAAGGGAGGCUUGUCUACGCCCAGCGUUCCGGCUGCAGAACGUCUGGAUGAUUAAUAGCCUGACAGC
rnacentral:snoRNA from 10 species